rnacentral:rRNA from 1 species
ACCUGAUCCCUUCCCGAACUCAGAAGUGAAACCUCUUAGCGCUAAUGGUAGUGUGGGAUUACCCAUGUGAGAGUAAGUCAUCGCCAGCU